rnacentral:misc_RNA from 1 species
AACGCACAUUGCGCCCCUUGGUAUUCCGAGGGGCAUGCCUGUUCGAGCGUCAUUACAACCUUCAAGCAUUGCUUGGUAUUGGGCUCCGCUGUUCACCCAGCGGGCCUUAAAAUCAGUGGCGGUGCCAUCGAGGCCCUGAGCGUAGUAAAUAUCCUCGCUAUAGGGACCCGGUGGACGCUGGCCAUCAACCCCCAACUUUCUAAGUUUGACCUCGGAUCAGGUAGGGAUACCCGCUGAACUUAA